CCACCGCGCCCGGCCUUAUUUGAUCCUCUGUAAGGGAUUGGAUCUGCCUGCCGAAUGGGGGCCAGGCAUAAGUGUGGUGCAGAGAUGCCAAGGCAGCCUACGAGAGUCCUGAAGGCCUCCGAUACCUGAUCCUGCAGGCUGGCAGACGGGCGGGUGACACCCACAGACUCUUUUGUUAUGGCUCCUAAAACAGGGAAGGCAAGAGGGAUCUACGGUGAGGAGAAAGGCCAGGGAGGCAAGCCCACCGAGAAGAGGACUGUGGCAUUUUCAUUUGGGUGCCCAGAGUCCCCCCAGAGCCUGCCACCGAGAGGCCUCGUCCAUGGCUGCAGUGAUAGAGGACAGUGAUGCAGGAGGAACAGCAGCAGCGGCUCCGGGAGGCCUUGCUCUGCCACAAGAAGGCACGCUACAUCCACUUUGUCACAAACUCUCAAAGCCCCAGAAGGCAGAUGGCAUUAACCCCACUUUUCAGAUGACAAAACUGAGGCCAGAAGGAUUUAAAGCAUCUGCCCAGGGUCAGGCACCUGGUAAAUGGCAAAGCAGGAGCCCAAGUCCCGCCUGCCUGGCCCCAGGGCCCCGGCCCGUGUCUGCUUGGCGCAAUCUACGGAAGCAGCAGGAAAACCCGAGCAGACCAGCAUUAACUUCGAGAGGAACCAAGCAAGAAGCAGUGUCUUGGCCGGGCGCGGUGGCUCAUGCCUGUAAACCCAGAGCUUUGGGAGUCUGAGGCGGGCAGAUCACUUGAGGUUAGGAGUUCGAGACCAGCCUGGCCAACAUGGCGAAACCUGGUCUUUACUAAAAAUACAAAACUUAGCUGGGCUUGUUGGCAGGUGCCUGUAAUCCCAGCUACUCGGGAGGCUGAGGCAGGAGAAUCACUUGAACCCUGGAGGCGGAGGUUGCAGUGAGCCGAGGUCGCACCACUGCACUCCAGCCUGGGCAACA
rnacentral:lncRNA from 1 species